ACAUAAUUUGAUAAAAUUUAACACAAUAAAUUAUAACAACUUUUGGCAAAGUGGGAAUACAAUGGAACUUCCCUAAUAUGACAAAAAGUAGCAAACAUCACAAAAACUACAGCAAACAUCAUACUUUAUAGUGAAAUGUUGAAAGCUUUUCUCUUGAGCUUUUCAUUUACUUAAUGGUAAAUAUUGAAAGCUUUCCUCUUGAGAUCAAGAAUGAAAUAAAGAUGAUCACUAUCACCACUGAUAUUUAAUUACAUAGGUUGUGUAAUAAGGCAAGAAAAAGAAACAAAAAAAUAAGGUUUGAAAGGUAGAAAUGGCAUUUUGUUUAGAAGAGAAUGCCUCCCCCAACAGCGUACAGGAGAACAUAGGAGAUGUUGUGGGUUUGAUCCCAGACCACCGCACCAAAGCAAAUACUGCAAUAAAGCAAAGCACAUGAAUUUCUGGGUUUCCUAGCAUGUAUAAAAGUUAUGUUUAUUCUAUGCUGUAGUCUCUUGUGUGCAAUAGCAAUAUGUCCAAAAAAAGUACAUACCUUUUUUUCCCUCUCCCAGGGACAUAUUUUCAUUGUUUUACUAGAGAAAGAGGGAGAGAGAGAGGGAGAGAAACAUCAAUCGGAAAGAGAAACAUCAGUAGC